rnacentral:rRNA from 1 species
UGCGUAGGCUGUGCAAUAAGUCAGGAGUGAAAUGUUACCGCUUAACGGUAGACCUGCUUUUGAAACUGUUGUGCUUGAAUUAAGUUGAGGUUGGCGGAAUGUGACAUGUAGCGGUGAAAUGCAUAGAUAUGUCAUGGAACACCAAUUGCGAAGGCAGCUGGCUAGACUUUAAUUGACGCUGAGGCACGAAAGCGUGGGGAGCGAACAGGAUUAGAUACCCUGGUAGUCC